AAACCAGCACCUCAAGUGGUCAGGAUGAUUAUUGGGCCUAAAGCAUCCGUAGCCGGCUCUGUAAGUUUUCGGAUAAAUCUGUACGCUUAACGUACAGGCCGCCGGGAAUACUGCAGAGCUAGGGAGUGGGAGAGGUAGACGGUACUCGGGAGGAAGUGGUAAAAUGCUUUGAUCUCUCGAUGACCACCUGUGGCGAAGGCGGUCUACCAGAACACGUCCGACGGUGAGGGAUGAAAGCUGGGGGAGCAAACCGGAUUAGAAACCCGAGUAGUCC
rnacentral:rRNA from 1 species